rnacentral:lncRNA from 1 species
GGAUCCACAUUCAAAAUUCAAACCACACUUUCAAUCCAUCUCUCUCUAAAAUCCAGUCUAGAGCUCCCAUGGGAGUAUCUUCCCUGAAUCUUCUGAGGAUUUUGUUUCGAUGAAGUACAGGUAAUCAUCCCCCACGUUACAAGUACAAAAUCCACAUUUUCGUGUGUAUAUAUAACAUUUCAUCAAUUAUCUUUUAUAGUUUUGCGAAAACCGAAACCCUAAUUCCCAAAUCGAACACAAUUCUCGCAUAUUCUCCGGAUGAUGAAACAACGGAACCGCACGAACAUUGAUACGCCAGUUGUUGAUACGCUGUGAAGUCGGCCGUAUUUCUUGCCGGAAGUUUGCCAACCCCCUUGCUGCAUUUGAGAUUGUUGCAUUUAUUGCAGAGCCUGUAAUGGGAGCAGGAGGUGCGAUACCUCCACCCAGGGCGAAGCUAAACGACCGAAGUUUGAGAACAUGGAGGUGGUGGCGGUUAUGAUAAUAAUGAUAGCAAGGGUUUCAGUUCUGGUCCUGCAAGUUCAAUUUGGUUUGUGAUUGUGGUAAGUAGUUUGGUGAUAAUUUGUGAGUGAGAAUAUAUUUGUUAGAGAAGCUUUUAAAUGUUUUAUUAGAUCGACUUGGUGAAAAUUUGUUAGUGAUUUGAAGGUGAUUCGAAUGUUUUUAUUUGGACUAAAAUGAGCUGGUGAGGAUGUUUGCUAAAACAGUGUUUGGUGGUUUGAAACCACUGUUGG